rnacentral:rRNA from 1 species
UACGGGGGGGGCAAGCGUUGUUCGGAAUUACUGGGCGUAAAGGGCUCGUAGGCGGUCAACUAAGUCAGACGUGAAAUCCCUCGGCUUAACCGGGGAACUGCGUCUGAUACUGGAUGGCUUGAGGUUGGGAGAGGGAUGCGGAAUUCCAGGUGUAGCGGUGAAAUGCGUAGAUAUCUGGAGGAACACCGGUGGCGAAGGCGGCAUCCUGGACGAAUUCUGACGCUGAGGAGCGAAAGCCAGGGGAGCAAACGGG